GUGCCAGCCGCCGCGGUAAUACGUAGGUGGCAAGCGUUGUCCGGAUUUAUUGGGCGUAAAGCGAGCGCAGGCGGUUUCUUAAGUCUGAUGUGAAAGCCCCCGGCUCAACCGGGGAGGGUCAUUGGAAACUGGGAGACUUGAGUGCAGAAGAGGAGAGUGGAAUUCCAUGUGUAGCGGUGGAAUGCGUAGAUAUAUGGAGGAACACCAGUGGCGAAGGCGGCUCUCCGGUCUGUAACUGACGCUGAGGCUCGAAAGCGUGGGGAGCGAACAGGAUUAGAUACCCUGGUAGUCCACGCCGUAAACGAUGAGUGCUAAGUGUUGGAGGGUUUCCGCCCUUCAGUGCUGCAGCAAACGCAUUAAGCACUCCGCCUGGGGAGUACGACCGCAAGGUUGAAACUCAAAGGAAUUGACGGGGGCCCGCACAAGCGGUGGAGCAUGUGGUUUAAUUCGAAGCAACGCGAAGAACCUUACCAGGUCUUGACAUCCUUUGACCACUCUAGAGAUAGAGCUUCCCCUUCGGGGGCAAAGUGACAGGUGGUGCAUGGUUGUCGUCAGCUCGUGUCGUGAGAUGUUGGGUUAAGUCCCGCAACGAGCGCAACCCUUAUUGUUAGUUGCCAUCAUUUAGUUGGGCACUCUAGCGAGACUGCCGGUGACAAACCGGAGGAAGGUGGGGAUGAC
rnacentral:rRNA from 1 species